rnacentral:tmRNA from 1 species
GGGGGUGCACCGGCUUCGACGGGAGUGAUCGGGGGCGGGGUAAGCGAGCCGUGGUUUCGGAUCCACGAUAAUCCUUCGGGCGUAAAAAUAAACGCUAACAAUAAAACUUUAGCCGUAGCUGCUUAACGCAGCUGCCGUCGACUCCGACCGCCUGCGGAUCGGACAAUCGGCGUCAUGAUCGCAGGGAACGCCAUCGGCCUAAGCUUUGCAGCCGGGGUGUAAAGAUGAAGCUACCAAACCGCUGCUUUGUCCGUGAUACAGCGGGGCGGGAAUAAAAACGCACUGACUACGCUCGUAGAAAGCCGCGCAAACGCACUUUCGGACAGGGGUUCAAUUCCCCUCACCUCCACCA